GGAUACUUAGCUCAGUUGGUAGAGCACCGGACUUUUAAUCCGGGGGUCGUAGGUUCGAGCCCUGCAGUCUCCA
rnacentral:tRNA from 1 species